AAGUUUGCAACGUGCUCAAGUUAAGAUGGUAAACACUGAGAUGAAUUGGUAACUACGAAGCAGAAGCCACCAUGAUCCGACUCGACGGUGAUCAACAGACACUCCUCCGGACAACUGCUUGUGGAUGUACACACGGCAGGGACUAGUAAAUGUAAUGAAAUUCUAAAUUUAUUUUUCAAUACUGUUCUAUAGCAGAUAUUACCAAGAUAUUAAGAAGACAAGCCAAAAAAAAUGGAUAGGAAAAAAUGCAAAAGACGUUGAGAAUAGUUAUCUAAAAUCUAUAAGUAAUUCUUAAAAGUCAACAAUAAGAAAACGAAUAAUUGGCUCACUGCUGCAGCCGUGCCUCCUUGUUCUCAGCGUCACCACUGCCGCCAUGCCAGGAGGGUUGCUUCUCGGGGAAGAGGCCCCCGACUUUGAGGCCGAUACCACCAUCGGCCGCAUCCGCUUCCACGAUUUCCUGGGAGAUUCAUGGGGCAUUCUCUUUUCCCACCCACAGGACUUUACCCCUGUGUGCACCACAGAACUUGGCAGAGCUGCAAAGCUGGCGCCAGAGUUUGCCAAGAGGAAUGUUAAGUUGAUUGCUCUUUCAGUAGACAGUGUUGAGGACCAUCUUGCCUGGAGCAAGGAUAUCAAUGCUUACAAUGGUGCACCACCCAGAGAAAAGUUGCCAUUUCCCAUCAUUGAUGAUAAGGACAGGGACAUUUCCAUCCUUUUGCGCAUGUUGGAUCCAGCAGAGAAGGAUGCUGACGGCAUGCCUGUGACGGCCCGUGUGGUGUUCGUUUUUGGCCCUGACAAGAAACUAAAGAUGUCUAUCCUCUACCCUAACACCACAGGCAGGAACUUUGAUGAAAUUCUCAGAGUGAUUGACUCUCUCCAGCUGACAGAAACAAAGCCUGUUGCCACCCCAGUUGAUUGGGAGGUGGGAGAGAGAGUGAUGGUCCUUCCUGACCUCUCCGAAGAGGAAGCCAAACGAUGUUUCCCUAAAGGAGUCUUCACCAAAGAGCUCCCGUCUGGCAAAAAUUACCUCCGUUAUACACCCCAGCCUUAAGUCUUUGCAGGAAUUGGGGCUGCAUCUGCGCGCCCAGCACUGGGAUUUGAAGUAAGCUGACAGCAGUGGGUCUUUGCAGCAGUUCCGUAGAAAGAUGGUGGCAUGAUCACAGCGGGUCCUAUAAAUCGCUCGCUAUACUAUUGGGUCAUUAAAUGGAAAUGGCACCAAA